GUCACCACGGCUGGCUGCGCCCUCUCACGCCACGCCACGCCACGCCUCUCCUCCUGGCCGCACCACUACUCUCCUCUCAGGGGACAAACCGCUGACUGUAGAGGACAUCGUGCCCUGUGCCUAUAGCCAUGGGGCAUGAGCGCGGGGAGCUGGAGGCGGAGCUCCAGGGGAAGAAGCGCUUUCACAUGGAUCCUCCCGUCGCCCACUUUGAUGCCAAGGU